UACAUAGGGUGCAAACGUUGCUCGGAAUUACUGGGCGUAAAGCGCACGUAGGCGGUCCGAUAAGUCGGAUGUGAAAUCCCCAGGCUCAACUUAGGAAGUGCAUUCGAAACUGUCAAUCUUGAAUAUGGAAGAGGGUCGCGGAAUUCCCGGUGUAGAGGUGAAAUUCGUAGAUAUCGGGAGGAACACCAGUAACGAAGGCGGCGACCUGGGCCAAUAUUGACGCUGAAGUGCGAAAGCGUGAAAAGCAAACAGG
rnacentral:rRNA from 1 species